rnacentral:lncRNA from 10 species
CCCUGGCCUCACCCUUCCCUUCUGCUACCUACAAAAGCCCCCUGACAUAGCACUCUUGUCAUACUGAGACUAAGGUAGAAAAAGACACUUCCAAAGGGUGUCAAUGACAAGAGAGAAAUAGACAUAGAGUGGUCACUUCAUUUACCAACCCUGGAACCGCAGACCUCUGGGCUUCCUGGCCCAUUUCUGCCUCGGUUGCCUGCCUCCAACCACAAUCCAGUUUUUUGGCUCCCAGAGACAGACAUGCCCAGAUCUGAACACCACCCACCUGGAUAAAGAAAAUGGGUACGGCCAAGACCAUAGACCUAGUGAUUGUCAGAUGAACAAUUAGACCCACAGAACCAUCCAAGCUACAGAGGACGCAUUCUGCCUUCCCUUGGAUCCUGUGGUUUGAGGAUGGAGGUCUAGGACCGUGGCAGGCUUUUUGUCCCAUGAGGGAAGGCCAUGGAGCUGAGGAAGGGGAAGAACACACACACCUAAUGGAAUCUCGAGAGAAAGUUCAGACAUCAAAAGACAGAAGCGACAGAGACCCAGAUGGAGUCUCACCCAGCCUGGAGUACAGUAGUAUGAUCUGCAACCUUUGCCUCCCAGGUUCAGGCGAUUCUCCUGUCUCAGCCUCCGGAGUAUCUGGGAUUACAGGCACGUGCCACCACGCCCGGCUAAUUUUUUGUAUUUUUAGUAGAGAUGGGUUUCACCGUGUUAGCCAGGAUGGUCUCGAACUCCUGACCUCGUGAUCUACCCGCCUUGGCCUCCCAAAGUGCUGGGAUUACAGGCAUGAGCUACCGUGCUCGGCCAUGCCUGGCUAAUUUAUAUAUACAUAUAUAUAUAUAUAUAUAUUUUUUUUUUUUUUUUUUUUUUUUUGAGACAGAGUCUUGCUCUGUCACCCAGGUUGGAGUGCAGUGGCAUGAUCUCGGCUCACUGCAAGCUCGCCUCCCAGGUUCACGCCAUUCUCCUGCCUCAGCCUCCUGAGUAGCUGGGACUACAGGCGCCCGCAUGACGCCCGGCUAAUUUUUUGUAUUUUUAGUAGAGACGGGGUUUCACUGUGUUAGCCAGGAUGGUCUCGAUCUCCUGACCUCGUGAUCUGCCCACCUCAGCCUCCGAAAGUGCUGGGAUUACAGACAUGAGCCACCGCACCCAGCCUUAUAUAUAUAUUUUUUAUUAGUGAAGAGGUUUCGCCAUAUUGGCCAGACUGGUCUCGAACUCCUGACCUCAGGUGAUCCACCCACCUCGGCCUCCCAAAGUGCUGGGAUUACAGGUGGGAGCCACCGCACCCUGCCUAAAAUGCAAAAGAUUUUGAAUGGCGAGAAUGGCGACAUGAUGCCACAAGUGGAAAAUUCCACACCUGGCUGCAUGUAAUGGGUUGAAGUCAAAAUGCAGUCAAAAACUUUGUUUCAUGUACAAAAUUAUUAAAAACAUUGUAUAAAAUCACCUUCAGACUAUGUGUAUGUGAAACCUAAGUGAAUUUAAUGGCUAGACUUCAGUUGCAUUCCCAAGAUCUCUCAUUAUGUAUAUGCAAAUAUUUUGAAAUUCAACCUGGUUCCACACAUUUUAGAUAAGGGAUACUCAAGCUGUAAUUAACAAAUAAACUUUUCACAGUCCAAGCAGCCAAAGGCCCACUGUCCCUGUUCCCUCAGCUCACGCCCCCUUCCGUGCACAGCCUUAUCUAAUCCUUCUACCCUUC